rnacentral:lncRNA from 1 species
CGCCCCUCGCUGCUCCAGUCCCCUCCUCACCUGGGGCCAGGGGCUGUGCGGCAGGGCAGUGCCAGGCAGCACGGCGCUGAAUGGGCCAGUGCCUGGCAGGCCAGGCCUUGUCUCACUGCACUGCCUGGCGUGGCGCUGGCCUGGCUCUGGAGCCGGGGGACAGAGGCAGGGCUGGUGCAAGUCACUUACUGGCAGUUGUCCAGCCACCCGAGGGGUGAAAAGGUCAGCGGCAGCUCCCCUUCCGGCUGGGAGUCACACAUGCCCACAGGCUGCAGCGUCACCGGGCUGGAGAGGUCAGCUCCCAUGGAGAACAUGGCUCGGCUCUGCCAGCAGUAUGGGAUCCCCCUCUGGGUGGCACCUGUCCUGGAGCAAGCAGCAACAAUGAAGUGUGAUAAGAGCAGGAGGCACAAGGCAUACAGACUCAUCCGCAGGCGGCUGUGGGAAGGAAGAAUAGGCCUGGAGAAAACAAAGUAUCCAACUUACAUUUACCCAAAGGAGCUGAAGAAUUUAAUGAGAUCUGCCUUCCCAGCAGGGGUCUGCGACUAUCCCGACCCCGACCACAGCAAGGGGACGUUGCACCCCAGGCAGAAGCAAAGGGCUGCUCCGCCUGCCACUCCCUUGCAGCCGAGGUAGGCAAGGCAGCUGCCUUUUCAGGAUCUCUGCGAAGCCUUUCCUCCAGCGCACGUGGGCUCUGCUCCGGAUCCUCCCUCUCCUCCCGAGGGGCAUGCCAGCUCCGGCUCUUGGCAGUUCAGCUCCAUGAGGCCUGAGCCUGGCUCCUGAAGCUGCAGAGCAGAAAGCUCCGUUCUGGGAACCGUGAGCCUGGCUGCAAGAGACCAGCAUCCCAGCCCGAAGACUCCCCGCCGGCCUGGCUCCCAUCCUGGGCCCCUGCUCGUGCUUACAUGGGACAAGGGGGCUUUGUGAUUCUCCCCCACUGCCCUGCCCAGCUAAACCAUCAGCGUCUAAGGGCCAGAGUCUCACUAGUGUAACGCGGUGCAGUUCACCCAGUCCCAUGGAGCCAUGCAGAGUUGGUGGGGUUGUUGGUCCCCGGAUAUUAGAGAGACAGGGUGGAGGUGGUGUAAUAUCUUUCGAGCUAUACCGAGCUCUUCCUGAAGCUUUAUCUUCCUGAAGAAGAGUUCGGGGUAGCUCAAGCGCUUGUCUCUCUCCCCAAGAGAUGUUGGUGCAGUAAAAGAUGUUACACCUCCCCCACCUUGUCU